rnacentral:lncRNA from 1 species
GGGUAGGAGACUAGUAACUUGGCCUCCAUGUGUAUACGGGAAAUAUAAAUAGUUGGAUAGAUUUAAGAGUUUGUAACACAUAAAUUUAUAUUCAAUUUUUCAUUUUUUUGAUAGUGAUACGGAUGGAAAAUUUGAUUCGUUGGCUGAAACUAAGGAGAGGGGGACCUUAGUUCUAACGGCCUUAGUCUCGACUGAUCCGAAGUAUUUUCAAGAUCAAUCGGACCAAAUCAUAAUAGGAAAGAUCUAUAUGUGAUAUAGUUGUUCGAUUUACAUCAAAUCAAAGAAGCUUUGAUAUCCGCAGGAUAGUUUGCUUUGAGCAGAUAAGAAAAAGAGAUGGCAACAUAUCUCUUUAAAUAAGAUAUGGUGUAAC